GCCUCAGUAGCUCAGUAGCAGAGCAAUUGCCUUGUAAGCAAUAGGUCGGGGGUGCAAGUCCCUCCUGGGGCU
rnacentral:tRNA from 1 species